rnacentral:rRNA from 1 species
UACGUAGGGUGCAAGCGUUGUCCGGAAUUAUUGGGCGUAAAGAGCUCGUAGGUGCCCUGUCGCGUCGGCUGUGAAAACUCGGGGCUCAACUCCGAGCUUGCAGUCGAUACGGGCAGGCUAGAGUUCGGCAGGGGAGACUGGAAUUCCUGGUGUAGCGGUGAAAUGCGCAGAUAUCAAGGAGGAACACCGGUGGCGAAGGCGGGUCUCUGGGCCGAUACUGACACUGAGGAGCGAAAGCGUGGGGAGCGAACAGG